UACGUAGGUGGCAAGCGUUGUCCGGAAUUAUUGGGCGUAAAGGGAGCGCAGGCGGGAUAGCAAGUCUUACUUAAAAGUUCAGAAGUAAUGUCUGUGAUGGGUAGGAAACUGCUAUUCUUGAGAGCAGGAGAGGCAAGCGGAAUUCCCGGUGUAGCGGUGAAAUGCGUAGAUAUCGGGAGGAACAUCAGUGGCGAAGGCGGCUUGCCGGACUGUGUCUGACGCUGAGGCUCGAAAGCCGGGGUAGCGAACG
rnacentral:rRNA from 1 species